rnacentral:rRNA from 1 species
GUUGAUCCUGCCAGUAUUAUAUGCUUGUGUUAAAGAUUAAGCCAUGCAUGCCUAAGUAUAGGUAGAUAAACCGAAACUGCGGAUGGCUCAUUAAAUCAGUCAUAAUUAAUUUGGUGAUGACAAUAGAAGGAUAACCCUGUUAAUUGUAGAGCUAAUACAUGAAUAACUGAUAUCGGAACCGGCGACGGUGAAGAUAGCACUUGUCAGCUCAUUUUUUCUCCCCUCGGGGAGGGAAAGGGGUAUGGAAAGUGUACCUGGGUCUAGGAAGCCAAAAGAGAAAAACCGAUCUUUGAAAGUAAUAAGGAGGCCUGGGGGACGAUCUGUGCCUUUAUAUGAGAUAUGAAUAACGACAAAUUAGCAAAUCGCAGUAAAGUACGGCUUGCCGUACGGCGAUAAACCAAACGAGAGACUGACCUAUCAAGUUGAUGGUAAGAUAGGGGCUUACCAAGCUAAUAACGGGUAACGGGGAAUUAGGGUUCGAUUCCGGACAGGGAGCCUGAGAAAUGGCUACCACUUCCAAGGAAGGCAGCAGGCGCGUAAAUUACUCGGUGCCGAUACGGCGAGGUAGUGACGACAAAUACCGAUGGCAGCCCUUUGGGUUGACGAUUGGAAUGAGUACAAUGCAAAAAUAUGUGCGAGUAACAAUUGGAGGGCAAGUCCGGUGCCAGCAGCCGCGGUAAUUCCAGCUCCAAUAGUG